AGAUCUUUAUGCAAGAAGAAAUGAGAAGAUGAACAGUUAGAGGCCAGGAUUACCUACCACAGCUCAAGUUUCCUCUCCACACCUCUGCCCCUGUGCAAGUUGACCUCUGAGUAUGCAGCUGGUAAGAGAUGGAAACCCUUGUUCAUAAGCUUUGUGGUGCUGUUGGCAGGAUGAAGGGAUUCUGGAUCCUCACGGGUCACUGUGGCAGAGCAGCUGGUGUUAUCUGCUCCCUAGACAGGAACCCACUGAAGAAUUUGACAUUCUUUGAUAUGCUGGCAUUCAUUGCUACAGCUCAUCAUCCCAGCCAUCAAUCCAGGCCAUCGGUCCUUGCCCAUGGUGGGAAGGUGGAGGAGGAAGCUGGCUUUGUUCUGACCUCGGGCUUCUGCUAUUCCACCAGUACUUUCUGUGGAGGAAAUGGGGAGAGAAAUGGCUGCUCAGAUGAGAAGAUGUGUCAGUAAACUUUUGCUACAGCGAUGCUGCAAAACAAACCACCAGUGACAUUCAGUGGCACAUAGCAAUAAACGUUUAUUUAGCUCAGGGAUUUUUUUUUUUUAAUGGCCAAAUAGUAAAUAUUUUAGGUAUUUCAGGCCAUACAGUCUCUGAACUCUGGCCUUGUAGCACAAAAGAAGCCUUAGAUGCUAUGCAAAUGGAGGAGUAUGACUGUGUUCCAAUAAAACUUUAUUUAUGGACACUAAAAUUUGUAUUUCAUGGAAUUUUUAUGUGUUAAGAAAUAUUACUCUUUUGAUUUUUUUCAACCACGAA